UGCACCUCUCAGACCAGCCUAGAUUAGUUCCAGAACUCUCUUCUUCUUUUUUUUUCUCUUCCCUAUUGUUCUUCUUCCAUUUUUCCUCCUUUACAUUCUUCCUGUUCAAUUUUCCGCGAGCGCCCCAUCUCUUAUUUUUCCCAAUUUCUCUGAGAUUUUUAGGGUUUUCACUUGAUUCAAAAUAUCCUCCAAUGCUUCCUCCUCUAGCAGUUCUAGGAGUUCAUCCG
rnacentral:lncRNA from 1 species